CAUCCGUAGAGCCUAAUCAAAGCGAACUGUACAACAGUGACGCCGCGACCUUGAAGCGCACUGUCGUAGUGCGAAUGUCGGAUAUGCAAGGCAGUGCAGUGCAGCUGUAGCCGCGGCCUCGUUUGGCCACGUCCACAAUUUCUGUCGCUCAGGACGUGCCCCACACCAAGGCAGUUUCUGGACACCGUCAUAACUCAUCAAUACAGGUUGAAGUAUGUCAUCGCUACCAGCAGAACGGACACGCACUGAGACAUCGAGUUCUGCAACUGUACAUUACGCCAGCAUCAAUGAUGGACGAUUGUUUGAAGACUUAUCGAGGAAGAAUGCUGAAGAUUGGCAUUCUUACUUCAUGGCACUUGCAUGUCUUCUCUCUACGCGCAGUAGGGAUCCCAAAUGGAAAGUAGGUGCAUGCAUUGUGAAUAAAGAAGGGCACAUCGUUGGGCAAGGAUACAAUGGAAUGCUCAAUAAUGCCCCGGAAAAUACAUUUCCCUGGGGCAAAGAGUCUACGAGCAACCUGGAAACCAAGACUCUUUUUGUCUGUCAUGCAGAAAUGAAUGCCAUUGCAUUUUCCAACUUAACGGAUUUUGAUGGAUGCACCAUGUAUGUGUCUACAUUCCCCUGCAUACAGUGUGCUAUGAGAAUAAAAGCAGUAGGCAUAUCCCAUGUCUACUACUUGGACGUGCAAAGCAACGAAGGAAGAGAAACGGAAAUAAAGAAUGCAGAAAGCAUUCUGACAGGUCUGAUACGCUGGACUGAUAUUCGAUCAUCGGUGACAUUUGACUUCACACAGUGUGAAAUAUUCAAAAAGGGAGCAGCCCGUCUUCCGAACAGGGAACCACAAGGUGGCGUCAAGAAAAUAACGUUUGAAGUUGGAGACCUGACCACGGAAAAAGAAGUUGAAGAACUGAUCUCGAAAAAGGAAGUUGAAGAACUGAUCUCGAAAAUGAAAGUUAUAGUCUCGAAAAAGGAAGGAGAACUGAUCUCGAAAAAGGAAGUUGAAGAACUGAUCCCGAAAAUGAAAGUUAAAGAUUUGAUCUCGAAAAAAGAAGUUGAAGAACCGAUCUCGAAAAAGAAAGUGGACAGGAUGAAAUGGGAACACCUGUUCUUCGCCAUCUGCCUGAUCGAAGCUCAAAAGAGCGAUGAAACAAAAAAACUCGGUGCUUGCGUCGUAAAUGAGGACAACCACAUCGUCGGGUGGGGGCACAAUCGCAGAGCUGGCAGUGAGCCUGAAACAGAAGUUCACGCCGAAAUGAUAGCAGUACUGCGCGCUGGCCCCGCCUUGAAGAACGCAACUUUGUACACAUUGCAACACCCUUGCAACGAGUGCGCCAAAAGCAUGAUUCAAAAAGGAGUAGGAAAGGUUAUCUACCUAAUGAAACCGCAGCCUACGGACACGUACAAAUCUGCGGAAUGGAUGUUCAGAGAGAUGGGGGUAUUCACCAGGUUUUUUAACCUAACUGGACCGACUGGCGCCAAAAACGAGAGCGUGGAGGUCACUUUUAAGGAUUAAUGCGGCAAGGUUGGCGGAUGCGUGCUGAGUGAUCAGAUAAAAGGCUCCUUGAAAGGGCAAGAAGUCUGCUGAAGACAAAGAAGACGAAGCUCUUUCUGUAUUCAACCAUCGGACGUAGGCAUCCCGUUCACGUAUAGAAAAACACAUCUAAAGCAGGGAUCCUUGACAUAAGAUCUUACUUUCACAGCUUUCCUAACGUAACAUAUAAGACAACGUUCGUUAACGGUUAAGGGUAUGAAACUGUUGCAAGCACUUCCAAUGACAAAGUCGAUGAACUAGAAACAUAACCUAAGAGUUGUAACUUUUGCGCUUCCGACAACAAUACCCUGUGGAAGUUACAGAUCCCUGAUACGAAGAUGAAAUUAUCUAUUUUUUUCCAAGGAUACUUAUUUGACGUGUUUGAGAAAUCCCAGUUUUUUUCUUAAAAAAUCAUGAGUUUUUCCCUUUAAGUUCUUAGUAGUUUAGAAUAUGUGCAUAGCUUUGGGUAUCUGCUUCACACCUAGUUGUCUCACAGAAGCGCUUGGAUGUUAACGAUGCAACUGCUCUCUCGCAAAUGUUGGAUAUGUGACGAGCAGCAAAGGUUGCUAUCGAAAUGUUUGCUUGCUUUGCAAUUCAAAUUAUAGAAAUUUUAUCAAAAA
rnacentral:misc_RNA from 1 species